AAUUACUCCUGGUGCGAAGAGCUUCAAAUCCCACCGAAUAUUUCUUCGUUUCGUCCGCUCAAAAAAGGCUAAAAUUCAUCCCUCGUUCGAUUAUCCGUAAGUUCCUCUGUGUCCUAACUGAUAGGGGCACUCUAAAAGCUUGGGUUGAGCUUGCUGCCCUUUAUUUCCAGAGGAGAAUGAGGUCUCAGUGGAAAACGCCCUGGAGGAGAACGAAGGCAUUGUAGCUGCCUAGAUCUUUAGGAAUUUUCUUAUGCCCUUUUAAAUCUUCUGUAUUUUGAGAUACUAAGAAUUUCCACGUUUUAA